CCUACGGGCGGCAGCAGUAGGGAAUUUUCCACAAUGGGCGAAAGCCUGAUGGAGCAACGCCGCGUGGGUGAAGAAGGUCUUCGGAUCGUAAAACCCUGUUGUUAGAGAAGAAAGUGCGUGAGAGUAACUGUUCACGUUUCGACGGUAUCUAACCAGAAAGCCACGGCUAACUACGUGCCAGCAGCCGCGGUAAUACGUAGGUGGCAAGCGUUAUCCGGAUUUAUUGGGCGUAAAGGGAACGCAGGCGGUUUUUUAAGUCUGAUGUGAAAGCCUUCGGCUUAACCGGGGUAGUGCAUUGGAAACUGGGGGACUUGAGUGCAGAAGAGGCAGGUGGAAUUCCGUGUGUAGCGGUGAAAUGCGUAGAUAUAUGGAAGAACACCGGUGGCGAAGGCGGCUCUCUGGUCUGUAACUGACGCUGAGGUUCGAAAGCGUGGGUAGCAAACAGGAUUAGAUACCCUGGUAGUC
rnacentral:rRNA from 1 species